rnacentral:rRNA from 1 species
AUGGAUGUACUGGAUAAGCAGGAUGGAGAUGAUGAUUUUAAUGGAGUUGAUAAAAUUUCAAGGGAUGAAAUAACAAUUGUGUCAGAAGAGAUCUAUCACAUUAUGAAGGACAGUAGAUUUAUUCUUAUUUUCCAUUCCGGGGUUGAUGAUGAGAUCGAUCUAUAUCCCCUUGGUAUUCCUUCAUUUGGCAAGUUCACAAAGAACAUAAUGAUAUGGACAUACAAAAGGAGGAUAUUGACCAUAACAGAAUACGAACAACAUAAACUAAUACAAAAACUGAGGUACACCCAUCUUUUGGCUUAUGAUAGAGAAAAAUAUUUAACAAGUGGACAGUUGUAUGCACUAUUGUGUAAAGAGGCUGCCCUCAUAGCUGCUCGCUAUCAAUGCUUGUGGGGAGUCAAUCCAAUGAANNNNNNNNNNGUUGCUGACUGUUAUGUUUACACACUAUUCCUGCAACGUAGUUUUCACAACAAGACCAAUUCUGAUUGGGUUGGUGUUGCUUCCAAUUGUUGGAUAUGUGAUGGGAUACUGCAGAAAGACAUAACAUUGGAGAUACGUGACGUGUUGCACCGAGAGAUAAGCUGGGAGUGUGAUGAUAAUGUGCUCGCAAAGUUCAAGAAAGAUUUCAAGCUUCCUUUCCUGAUUGUUAAAGAAGAUGGUGUGUAUGAAGAAGGACAAUACCGUUGGAUUUCAACCAGGUCAAGUGAUAGGGAAAUACAUGCUAUGAAAUCUUUACCUGAAGAGACAUCGUCAUUCUUCUUGGAAUUUGUAAUGUCCGAUAAGCCAGUAGCAUUACCAGAUGGUUUGUUUGAACAUUCCAACAACCUUGGUGUGCUAUCCCUCUGUUGUUGUGCCUUCAAUUUUGCAUCACCUCCUUUCUUGAAAUGCCAUGGCCUACGAUUCCUUGGGCUGGACAAUUGUACAGAUGACAAAACAGGUGAAGGAAAGGAUUAUGCCGGGUGGGUUUCUCUGCAUAGCUUGUGGGUGUUGGACCUACGCUACACUGUGUGGAAUGAAAUCUUAUCGCAGGAAAAGUUGGAUCUAAUGGAUAACCUCGUGGAGCUUAGCAUGGAGGGAGUCUGGUGUUGGCAGUACAUAAGUUGCUUACAAGGCCGGCUACCGAAUCUUCAAAGGCUCAGGAUAAUCAAGCCUACACGUGGACCCGAUAUUUCAACAGAUCCAAGCAACUCCUUCAUGGACAAAGCAAAGCUAGAAAUACUUGACCUGUCUGGCAACAGUGAGAUGAACAUUGUACCAAACAGCCUAUCUAAGGCAAGUAGGCUCGAAGUGCUUAUUCUGGAUGGUUGCAAUGAGCUUAAAGAUGUUGUUGUCCCUGAUGGGCUACCUCGCUUGCUGAAGUCCUUCAGCUUUGAUGGAUAUGGGUCUGUUUCCUGCCGGGCACCAACUGUUGAGCUACCUUCGAAACAAGAACGUCCAUCUACCCCAACAACAAAGGAGGGUGCCAGUAUCUCUAAGAUUUCCCUCGAAGGUUGCUCACAAUUGGAGAAUUUGUUUGUUCGUGGAUUGGACAAUCUCGUUGAGCUUGACCUCUCCGGAGCUGCAAUCAAGACACUUAAUUUCAAUACUAUGGUGUUAGAAGUACCAAUGUUGAAGCGAUUAUUUCUGCUAGGAUGUGAGCACCUUCGGGCAAUAAUUUGGAGCAGCCUUACUGAUAGCUUCAAGUUGGAAUUGUUAUGCAUUGAUACGCGAGCUGGAACUGGCCGUUCUCGGCCAUGCAUUGACCGGAACAAUUCCUUUCAGUUGGAGGUGCACGCCAUUGUUGUGGAUGCAAGGCUUGCUCGGUCAGUGUGGCAACUAUUAUGUAAUCAUUAUGCAGCUGCUGAGAAUGUUUAUCUUAAUAUCCAUGUCACCUCUGCUGUGUAUAGUGAGCUGAGUCAAUCCAAAGUGAAAGAAAAGGAGAAGAAGAUUGACAUGUAUGGAGAUCAAGUUAGCCUGCUGCAGCUUGUUCAAGCAGACCGGUACAGUGAUGUCCAAAGCAUGGUUGGUGAUGCCCCUGCUGCAGCCUUUCCUAAGCCUCCGGCUAACAACCUGGAUCGGCAUAUCGAGAUUACUAAAGGGAGCCACGUCUUGGACAGUGGACUGGGAUAUGUGAUGACAAGGUUUGCUGAUUCCCUGCAUGUCCACGAUGUCUCAACUAGUGCUAGUUUGCCGACGGGAUACAGCCCGCAGGUUCUCAGGCAAUGCCGCAUGGAGAGGUGCCCCAAGUUGGGUGAAGUCUUCCCGAGGGGAUCACGUGAAUUUUGGCAGCUGGAGACCUUUUGGGCGUCAGAUCUCCUGAUGGCCAGCUGGAUAUGCAGUAAAGGUGGUUACCGUUACCACGGGUUCAAUGAUGGUUCGUUCGGAAAGCUGCAGCAUCUACGGUUGCGCUCUUGCCCCAGGCUCCAGUUCGUGCUCCCUGUGUGGUUCCGCUCCUUCCCAAGUUUGGAGACCCUCCACAUCAUCCACUGCGGAGACCUCAGGCACAUAUUCGUGCUAGACGAGAAAUAUUGGUACCCAGAUAUCAUCCAAGUUGUAGCAUUCCCAAGGCUGACAACCAUCCACCUGCACGACCUGCCAGUGCUGCAGCAGAUCUGCGAGGUGGAGAUGGUGGCACCAAAGCUCAAUACCAUCAAGAUUAGAGGAUGCUGGGGCCUGCGCCGGCUGCCGGUGGUGGGUGCCCGCAGCGGAGACAUGAAGAAGCCGACCGUCGAGAUCGAGAAAGACGUCUGGGACUCUCUGGAGUGGGACGAGGAGGUGGCCGCUGGCCACUUUGAGGCGCCGGUGCACUCACGCUACUACAAGAAGAAACUGCCAAGGGUCUCCGUGCUCAGGUGA